CCAGACUGGCUGAGUUCCCCUUUCUGAAGGGAGCAAAUCUGAAGGUGAUGUUUACAGAACCCCAGCUUAGCUAAAGACAACUUCUUGUUACUCUAGUUUAGGGUUGGACAACCUGUUCUGCGACAAUUUCACAGAAGCCAUCCAGGCUUGCUUAACUUGUGCUUCAGAGUGAGGUCAGAGGGACAAAGGAAGGAGAAUGUACAAGGAGAGACAAAAGAGGAGGUAGAGAGAAAGGGUAGGACAGUUGCUGGGUUCUAUUAUGCCCAGAUCCUACUUCAGGAUGUGUUUGCCACAAGUGUGGGUCCAUUCAAACCCUGGGCUAGGUGAUGAAUCAUUCUUGCUAUGGCCUUCCCAGAAAUGGGUAAAGUAGUAGAAGGGUUAGAAAGUAACUUAAAUCAUGAUUGAGUGAUUUUGCCCUCCUGGGGAUUUCCGGUCAUGUGUGGAGAUAUUUUUGAUUGUCACAACCUGAACCAGUCCACUUUUUGUUACUAUAAUGAAAUACUUGGAACUUCAUAAAGAAAAGAGGUUUAUUGAGCUCACAGUUCUAGAGGUCCAAGGGCACAGUGUCAGCAUCCCCUCAGCUCUGGUGAGGAUCUCACAGUGGAGAAGGACAAAUCACAUGAGCAAGACAGAAAGCCACAGUGUGACACCAUGGACUCUGUGAGGAGCCACGGAAACCACAUUACUCCCUUCCUAGGCCACAACCUCAAUGACUUAAGGGCCUCCCACUAAGCUCCACCUCUUUAAAAAAAAUUUUUUUUAGUUGUUGAUGGACGUUUAUUUAAUUUAAUUUAUUUAUAUGUGGUGCUGAGAAUCAAACCCAGUGCCUCACAUAUGUGGGGCAAGUGCUCUAUCACUGAGCCACCACCCCAGCCCUAAACCCCACCUCUUAAUAUCACGCUAAGGAUCAAACAUCCAACACAUGAACCCUUUGGGUACACACUCAAACCAUAUCCAAACUACAGCACAAUGGGUUUUUUUGGAGGAGGGAUGGUGUUUCUGUCCUUUGAGGAGUUGAGGUCAGUGUGGCUGCUUAACAUCCUACAAUGAUCAGGACAGCCUACAACAGCAAAUUAUCUGUCCCCAGUUAUCAGUAGUACUGAGGUUAAGAGCCCUGGCCUUAUACCGGGCACGGUGGUGGUGGCACAC
rnacentral:lncRNA from 1 species